rnacentral:rRNA from 1 species
GGACCCGCACAAGUAGUGGAGCAUGUGGUUUAAUUCGAAGAUACGCGCAGAACCUUACCAACACUUGACAUGUUCGUCGCGACUCUAAGAGAUUAGAGUUUUCGGUUCGGCCGGACGAAACACAGGUGCUGCAUGGCUGUCGUCAGCUCGUGUCGUGAGAUGUUGGGUUAAGUCCCGCAACGAGCGCAACCCUCACUUUUAGUUGCCAUCAUUAAGUUGGGCACUCUGAAAGAACUGCCAGUGAUAAGCUGGAGGAAGGUGGGGAUGACGUCAAGUCCUCAUGGCCCUUACGUGUUGGGCUACACACGUGCUACAAUGGUAUCUACAACAGGAAGCAAGACUGCGAGGUCAAGCAAAUCCUUAAAAGAUACCUCAGUUCGGAUUGCACUCUGCAACUCGAGUGCAUGAAGCUGGAAUUACUAGUAAUCGU